rnacentral:rRNA from 1 species
AUACGUAGGGAGCAAGCGUUAUCCGGAUUUAUUGGGCGUAAAGCGCGCGUAGGCGGCUUGUUAAGUCAGGUGUUAAAGGCAAGGGCUCAACCCCUGUUCGCACCUGAAACUGGCAGGCUUGAGUUUGGUAGAGGAAAACGGAAUUCCCAGUGUAGCGGUGAAAUGCGCAGAUAUUGGGAAGAACACCGGUGGCGAAGGCGGUUUUCUGGGCCACAACUGACGCUGAGGUGCGAAAGCUAGGGGAGCAAACAGGAUUAGAUACCCUGGUAGUCCUAGCCGUAAACGAUGGAUACUAGGUGUGGGGAGGCAUACUCUCCGUGCCGCAGCUAACGCAUUAAGUAUCCCGCCUGGGGAGUACGGCCGCAAGGCUAAAACUCAAAGGAAUUGACGGGG